GAUUGGCUGCUCCCUCAUAACCAUAAGAUAAUUAAAACGAAGGGGGGGCGGGUUAAAAAAACUUUUUUAUCAGCCAGAGGUUAAUGCAAGUGUUUAACAGAUGCUUCACUAUUAAAAUAUUUAUCCCCCCCUCCCCGUCUCAAAUAUUGAAGAAUCUCAAACCAGGUACACCUGCCGCGCAGACCUCGGGCAGAUUCGAAGUGUGGGCACCUGGGUUCCCCGAAUCUGUGGUGUGGGCGGUAUCGGUGUGCCCCCCGGUUUAACUAGCCUGUUUGGCAAAACAAAUGAAGCACAAGUGCUCAUAGAACAUUCCAAAGAGUCAACAGAGAGAAAUGGAAACUAUUAGAAACACGAUUGUGUUUGGAAAGGGAACAUAAA